CCCUCACCAGCGCCCGGCCGCACAAGAAUCAUGCCCCCACCAACCCACCUGACCUCCACCAUGCUGCAGCACCACAACUUCAUUUCCUGCCGGUGGGAGUCCACCACCGAAUCCAGGCAUAUCGGCGCGCCGCCCAAUGCCUCCUUCUGUCUACCCUCGGUGAUGCUCUCCACCAUCACUCUGCCAGGUUCCAGCGGGGGCUCCACAGGCCGCUACGUUAGUCCAAAUCCCGCUGCCCAGGCCGGCCAGCACCAAAUGCCUCUUUGCUCCAGCCCCACAUCGGGUUACAGCCCCGGCCCCUCGGUGCCGCAUCUGGUAGAGCUCGCUGCUCUUCCGUGGUUCUAACGGGAGAUGGACGCGCUGGCAUACAUAGGAAGAUCGAGGCCCUCGUCCAGUAUGUCCAGUUUUGAUCGUGAUGCUUUUCUACUCAUGACACUGGAGCCCCCACUGCACAUUUCCCCCAGUGCGCAUGUCGAAGGCCGGGAAGUUCUCCUGCUGGUGUACACCAAGUCUAGAGAUGUUGCUGCCAAUAGCAUGGAGCGAGCUGAUGCUUUAGCAGCUAUAAGAGAGGCCUUCCACACGAUAGGCUAAACUGCUCUAAUGUGGAUGUUACAACAGGUCAUUGGCAAAAAUAUAUUCCAUGUGGAGCCCCUGCUGGUCGCCCUCGGCCACGAUCUCAUCCACCACAGUUGCCGACAGCCGUCUGAGUCGAGUGCUGACCGCAGUCCAAGUAGAAUGGUGGCCACCAUCUUCACCAAGAGCUGCACAACGGUCCAGGUUAGAGCACACACAGAGCGAUAACAGCAUCUUGUUCUACUUUGCACAUUGCUUAAAUCACACAGACAAAUAUGCUAGCAGGUAGUGCUCUUAAAAUGUGAGUUUAUUCCUUACAUGGAUGUACUAGUGACACUACUCUUGCAUAAAAUUUCUCCUUUUGCAAAAAGUAAUUUGUGCAAAAAGAAGCAAACGUCAUGUUGACCUGGUUUGCACAAACGAUGCUUGCUAGGUGUUUGUUCUAAUGCCUAUGUGAACACAACACUUGUUUCUUGUUUUCUUUAUACUGAGAAGAAACCUAGUGAAGGAUCAGGGAAACAGAAUGGCUCACCAACAAAAGCCACUAAAAAAGUUUUGAAUAAAAUUGGGGAGGAUCAAGUACAAGAAUACAAAAAGUUCAGAGUUGAGAAAGCGGAAAAGUUCAUAGGCCUCUCCCAUUCACAAACGCACGUCGCUGGCCAAUUGAGAUGUGUUGCCGCCGUCGCCCAUCCAAAAUCACAGUGCCUAUCGAGUUUCUUUGUCAAAAGCUUGCAUCGAUAGCUAACCCUGUAUUAUUAUUGUUACCUACUAUUAUGCUAAUGUUGUACUGUUGCUCUUGCUUAUUAAGGCAUGCAUCAAUAGUUAAUAUUGAACUGCAUGUGCUAUUCUAUGUUAGGUGAUUGGAGCCUUUCUUUAAUGGAUGUGUUCUUUGGAUGAGGACGCCAACGUUAUGUUGUUUUCAUACUUUCAACAAAAAAUAUCUAUAAGUUCAAAAUGUAUAACCCUAUAAUUUCAUUGAAAAACGGAAACAAAAAUAAUAGUGCUUGAGCAAGUAGUCACCCCGCACUGGAUCGAUGGGCCGUUGUCGCUCCCCUGGUGCGUACAAGCAGUUCAACACCGCAAUCCCCGGCCGUUCGGUCUCGCCGCCGUGGGCGUGCCCCGCUCCAACUCCAUCACCUGUGCUUCAGUGGCGAAACAGUGCAACCUCAGGAACCGCUAAGGGUCGAGGACGUCCAUCUCGGUAGUCCAACUUGGCGUUAUGCAUGUCAUUGCUAGUCCCAUGUUCGCUAGCAAGACCACCACGCUUCUCCGCCGGCACCGGCAGGGUGGUGUACACGGAGAUAGAGGUCGGCAAGUCGGGCAAGGCCACGGGAGUUGAACUACAGAAAAAAUAUCAGCCCAAUGAUAGAAAAACAUCAGUUCAAUAAAUAUAUAUGCAGGAGGUUGGGAGCAAAAAAAACUGGCCACGGCGCGCCUCCACCUCCGUGUCAUGGCGUGCCUCCACAU